rnacentral:misc_RNA from 1 species
GUCCGCUGCUCUUCUCUCUCUUCCUUUAUCUCUUUAAAAUAUAUUUAUAGCUGGCUUAUAGCCUACUAUAGGUACAAUAGCAGACUAUUAGCCAGCUAUAAAGAAAUUUUAAUGAGAUAAAAGAUGAGAGAGAAGAGCAGCGA